rnacentral:rRNA from 1 species
UACGUAGGUGGCAAGCGUUGUCCGGAAUUAUUGGGCGUAAAGCGCGCGCAGGCGGUCCUUUAAGUCUGAUGUGAAAGCCCACGGCUCAACCGUGGAGGGUCAUUGGAAACUGGGGGACUUGAGUGCAGAAGAGAAGAGUGGAAUUCCACGUGUAGCGGUGAAAUGCGUAGAGAGGUGGAGGAACACCAGUGGCGAAGGCGACUCUUUGGUCUGUAACUGACGCUGAGGCGCGAAAGCGUGGGGAGCAAACAGG